CUGACACACUGUGAGCCAGCCCAAC
rnacentral:piRNA from 1 species